GAUGAACGCUAGCGGCAGGCCUAAUACAUGCAAGUCAAGGGGCCAGCAAUGGCACCGGCGCACGGGUGCGUAACACGUACACAACAUACCUUUAAGUGGGAGAUAGCAUCGGGAAACUGGUGGUAAUACCCCAUAACUAUUGCGAUGCGGCAUCACAUUGCAAUUAAAGUUUCGACGCUUAAAGAUUGGUGUGCGUCCGAUUAGCUAGUUGGCGGGGUAACGCCCACCAAGGCUACGAUCGGUAGGGGGUGUGAGAGCAUGACCCCCCACAUGGGUACUGAGACACGGACCCAACUCCUACGGGAGGCAGCAGUAAGGAAUAUUGGACAAUGGACGAAAGUCUGAUCCAGCCAUCGCCGCGUGCAGGAUGAAGGCGCUCAGCGUUGUAAACUGCUUUUGAACGGG
rnacentral:rRNA from 1 species